UACGUAGGGUGCAAGCGUUAAUCGGAAUUACUGGGCGUAAAGCGUGCGCAGGCGGUUAUGUAAGACAGGUGUGAAAUCCCCGGGCUUAACCUGGGAACUGCAUUUGUGACUGCAUAGCUAGAGUACGGUAGAGGGGGAUGGAAUUCCGCGUGUAGCAGUGAAAUGCGUAGAUAUCAAGAGGAACACCAGUGGCGAAGGCGGCUACCUGGACAAUUGCUGACGCUCAGGCACGAAAGCGUGGGGAGCAAACAGG
rnacentral:rRNA from 1 species